rnacentral:rRNA from 1 species
GACGUAGGGGGCAAGCGUUGUCCGGAAUUACUGGGCGUAAAGGGCGUGUAGGCGGCCUUGCAAGUCAGUGGUGAAACACCUGGGCUCAACCGAGGUAUUGCCAUUGAAACUGCUUGGCUUGAGGGUAGAAGAGGAGUGUGGAAUUCCCGGUGUAGCGGUGAAAUGCGUAGAGAUCGGGAGGAACACCAGUGGCGAAGGCGGCACUCUGGUCUAUCCCUGACGCUGAGGCGCGAAAGCUAGGGGAGCAAACAGG